AGUGAACGCUGGCGGUAGGCCUAACACAUGCAAGUCGAACGGCAGCACAGUAAGAGCUUGCUCUUACGGGUGGCGAGUGGCGGACGGGUGAGGAAUACAUCGGAAUCUACUUUUUCGUGGGGGAUAACGUAGGGAAACUUACGCUAAUACCGCAUACGACCUACGGGUGAAAGCAGGGGAUCUUCGGACCUUGCGCGAUUGGAUGAGCCGAUGUCGGAUUAGCUAGUUGGCGGGGUAAAGGCCCACCAAGGCGACGAUCCGUAGCUGGUCUGAGAGGAUGAUCAGCCACACUGGAACUGGGACACGGUCCAGACUCCUACGGGAGGCAGCAGUGGGGAAUAUUGGACAAUGGGCGCAAGCCUGAUCCAGCCAUACCGCGUGGGUGAAGAAGGCCUUCGGGUUGUAAAGCCCUUUUGUUGGGAAAGAAAAGCAGCAGGUUAAUACCCCGCUGUUCUGACGGUACCCAAAGAAUAAGCACCGGCUAACUUCGUG
rnacentral:rRNA from 1 species